rnacentral:rRNA from 1 species
UACGUAGGGUGCAAGCGUUAAUCGGAAUUACUGGGCGUAAAGCGUGCGCAGGCGGUUAUGUAAGACAGAUGUGAAAUGCCCGGGCUUAACCUGGGAACUGCAUUUGUGACUGCAUGGCUAGAGUUUGGCAGAGGGGGGGUAGAAUUCCACGUGUAGCAGUGAAAUGCGUAGAUAUGUGGAGGAACACCGAUGGCGAAGGCAGCCCCCCUGGGUCAAGACUGACGCUCAUGCAC